rnacentral:rRNA from 1 species
AACGCGAAGAACCUUACCUGGUCUUGACAUCUACAGAACUUUCCAGAGAUGGAUUGGUGCCUUCGGGAACUGUAAGACAGGUGCUGCAUGGCUGUCGUCAGCUCGUGUCGUGAGAUGUUGGGUUAAGUCCCGCAACGAGCGCAACCCUUGUCUUAUGUUGCCAGCACGUUAUGGUGGGAACUCAUGAGAGACUGCCGGGGUUAACUCGGAGGAAGGUGGGGAUGACGUCAAAUCAUCAUGCCCCUUAUGUCCAGGGCUUCACACAUGCUACAAUGGUCGAUACAGUGGGCAGCGACAUCGUAAGGUGGAGCGAAUCCCUGAAAGUCGGCCUUAGUUCGGAUUGGGGUCUGCAACUCGACCCCAUGAAGUCGGAGUCGCUAGUAAUCGCAGAUCAGCAACGCUGCGGUGAAUACGUUCCCGGGUCUUGUACACACCG